CUACAGGCUUAACACAUGCAAGUCGAGGGGCAGCAUGGCUUAGCUUGCUAAGACUGANGGCGACCGGCGCACGGGUGAGUAACACGUAUCCAACCUGGCCCAUACUCGGGUAUAGCCUCUCGAAAAGGGAGAUUAAUCCCCGAUAUGUCCUUGGAGUAGAUUCAAUGAUGAAAGAUUUAUCGGUAAUGGAUGGGGAUGCGUAAGAUUAGGUAGUAGGCGGGGUAACGGCCCACCUAGCCGACGAUCUUUAGGGGUUCUGAGAGGAAGGUCCCCCACACUGGUACUGAGACACGGACCAGACUCCUACGGGAGGCAGCAGUGAGGAAUAUUGGUCAAUGGGCGGAAGCCUGAACCAGCCAAGUAGCGUGAAGGAUUACAGCCCUACGGGUUUUAAACUUCUUUUAUAUAAGAGUAAUGUGCACUACGUGUAGUGUAUUGCAAGUUAUUAUAUGAAUAAGCAUCGGCUAACUCCGUG
rnacentral:rRNA from 1 species